UACGUAGGUGGCAAGCGUUGUCCGGAUUUACUGGGCGUAAAGAGCGCGCAGGCGGUCGGCCAAGUCGAGUGUGAAAGCCCCCCGGCUCAACUGGGGGAGGGUCAUUCGAUACUGGUCGACUCGAAGGCAGGAGAGGGAAGCGGAAUUCCCGGUGUAGUGGUGAAAUGCGUAGAUAUCGGGAGGAACACCAGUGGCGAAGGCGGCUUCCUGGCCUGUUCUUGACGCUGAGGCGCGAAAAGCUAGGG
rnacentral:rRNA from 1 species